rnacentral:lncRNA from 1 species
CGCCCCUCUUGCGCUGGAGCUGCCGCAGCGCCCCCUGCCGGCGGAGCUGGCGCAGACCGAGGGACCCACCGCGCAGUGCUCAGAACCUGGGCUUUGGUUUUGACUGUUUACCCUUGAGCUGAAAUGCGGCAGUCAAGCUCCAUGUCUAUUGGUAGCGAGUGAUUCCUUGUUAAAGACAGGAGAAAGGAUUUCUCUAUGAUAAAUACAGGACUUACUGAAAAUUGAACUAGUCAAAGCCGGGUGUGGCAGUGCGCACCUGCAAUCCCACCACUCCAGGAGGCUGAGGCAGGAGGACCACAAGCGUGAAGCCCGGCUUUCAUUGGGAAACUUCGCGACUUACUGAGACCCGCUCUCGGAUUUCUUUAAAAAGGCAAAAGGGUGGGGGAUGUAGCUCAGUGCAAAGGGUCUGGGUUCAAACCCGCUACCAAAGCAAGAGACUUCAUCUUCCCAGGAAGAGGGAGACAAACUUCAUCUUGCAUCUCUGCCAAGUGUUAGGUCAUCUCGGUGCUCAGCGAGGCUGUGGCGCCGGAGUCGGGUUGCUGGGUCUCCCUGGAGAAUCUUCCGGGCCCGGGUCGGCGCAGGCUAACUGGGAAGCCAGCCCCGCGGCCCCGAGGCCACCACCACCCUGCUGUGGACACGGGACUGUUCAGCUCAGCCGGAGUGGGAUCUCGCAGGAGCAUUCGGGAGCCAUGGGCGGGCUAACUGGAAGUACAGUGGACCCUUGACUUAGGGACGUGAUCAGUUCCGGAGGGCUGGUUGUAACUCAAGUUGGUGUUCCCAGGACAGUGUGGCACAGUGGCUGAUGCUGGUGCCGAAGUCAGAGGAUCAGAGCUUCAGGCUGGGACAUAUCUGGAUCCUGCUGCAGCAAAUAUUCACAGUAUUUCUACAGACAGCCAGGACAGAGCUUUGAACAGGCGGUUCACCGAAUCCAGCAGUGUGCUGGUCCUGGCUUACCAACCAGCUGCUUGGAAAAGAGCAGAAGUCCUCAGUUACAGUUUUGGAGAGUUCAUGGUGGAAGGGCAAGACCCGUCUCUGGCGCUUCAGCAUGGGCGGAAGCAGAGGCCUUCGUUCUCUUAUCCCACUCCAGCGAGACUUCCCCCCGGACCUCAUCUGAGUCCAUCCUGCCUCGGUCAUCUGGGCUUCAGAUACACUCUGCUGAACCAGGAAAAUGUGGAGAUUUCUUUCUGGAAGGAAAGGAAGCCCAUGAUGUGAACUAGAAGGACAGCAGACCCAUGAACCUUCUCCCAGGAGCCAAGACUUUUGUUUCUUUUCGUAUUAACUCGGUUUUCUUUUGGCAUGCACAACGAAACAAAUGCUGAGGAAUCUUGGACAGACAAUUUGUAAUGUUUGGGAUGGAAGAAAUAAGC